rnacentral:rRNA from 1 species
UACGUAGGGCGCAAGCGUUGUCCGGAAUUAUUGGGCGUAAAGAGCUCGUAGGCGGCUUGUCACGUCGGUUGUGAAAGCCCGGGGCUUAACCCCGGGUCUGCAGUCGAUACGGGCAGGCUAGAGUGUGGUAGGGGAGAUCGGAAUUCCUGGUGUAGCGGUGAAAUGCGCAGAUAUCAGGAGGAACACCGGUGGCGAAGGCGGCAUCCUGGACCAUGACUGACGCUGAGGAGCGAAAGCCAGGGGAGCAAACGGGG